rnacentral:rRNA from 2 species
AAAUUGAAGAGUUUGAUCAUGGCUCAGAUUGAACGCUGGCGGCAGGCCUAACACAUGCAAGUCGAACGGUAGCACAGAGAGCUUGCUCUCGGGUGACGAGUGGCGGACGGGUGAGUAAUGUCUGGGAAACUGCCUGAUGGAGGGGGAUAACUACUGGAAACGGUGGCUAAUACCGCAUAACGUCGCAAGACCAAAGAGGGGGACCUUCGGGCCUCUUGCCAUCAGAUGUGCCCAGAUGGGAUUAGCUUGUUGGUGAGGUAACGGCUCACCAAGGCGACGAUCCCUAGCUGGUCUGAGAGGAUGACCAGCCACACUGGAACUGAGACACGGUCCAGACUCCUACGGGAGGCAGCAGUGGGGAAUAUUGCACAAUGGGCGCAAGCCUGAUGCAGCCAUGCCGCGUGUAUGAAGAAGGCCUUCGGGUUGUAAAGUACUUUCAGCGGGGAGGAAGGUGUUGUGGUUAAUAACCGCAGCAAUUGACGUUACCCGCAGAAGAAGCACCGGCUAACUCC